GAAGAAAAUGAGAGAAAAGGAAAAGGAAAAGGAAAAGAAAAAGGAAAAAAAUAGUAGAAAGUUUUUAGAAAAUUUUAGAAAUUUAUUUGAAGUUUGAGGAACGUGUUUGGGCUCGAAAUUUAGUAUUUAAAAGGUUGGCACCAGAGUUGAGGUUGGACGAAUUUUGAGGCAUUCUGAAUUAUAUUCAAGUUUCUGGGUCUAAAAGGAAGGCAAGAACCUUCAAGGAUGAGGAAUACUUUAUAAGUGCAAUACCAACAAAUCAGGUUGGAGGCUGCUGUACUGGAUCUAGUGGCAGAUGGUAAUGGGGGCUUGCAGAAACAAAAAUCUAGAUACCACUGGGAUAAGAGGAGUAAGAAGUAUAUCAAGUUAAAUAAUGGGGAACACGUGACAGCUAGUGGAAAGGUGUGGGAGCUGACGCCGUGGCUAGCCCGUUUGGCGUGUCAGUCGUAGAUAACUAUGUGUAUAGGGCAAUCCCGAGUAAAAGAUCCAUGAGGUGUGAAAUGUGAUCGGAGGCUCGGAUAAUGUGGUUUGUUUGAUUGGAUUGGAUGUGAUGUUAUGUAAGAUUAAGCCCCUGAGUAGUGUGUUUUAUAUUUAUUUGGCUUUCGCUAUUGUAUUAUUUUG